rnacentral:miRNA from 1 species
CAAUCACUAGCUUCACUGUC